GGGAGAUGGCCGAGCGGUCAAUGGCAGCAGACUGUAAAUCUGCCGGCGUAUGCCUACGGAGGUUCGAAUCCUUCUCUCCCC
rnacentral:tRNA from 1 species